GAUGAAGAACGCAGCGAAAUGCGAUAAGUAGUGUGAAUUGCAGAAUUCAGUGAAUCAUCGAAUCUUUGAACGCACAUUGCGCCCCUUGGUAUUCCAUGGGGCAUGCCUGUUCGAGCGUCAUUAGUACCUUCAAGCUCUGCUUGGUGUUGGGUGUUUGUCUCGCCUCUGCGUGUAGACUCGCCUCAAAACAAUUGGCAGCCGGCGUAUUGAUUUCGGAGCGCAGUACAUCUCGCGCUUUGCACUCAUAACGACGACGUCCAAAAGUACAUUUUUACACUCUUGACCUCGGAUCAGGUAGGGAUACCCGCUGAACUUAAGCAUAUCAAUAAGCGGAGGA
rnacentral:misc_RNA from 1 species